rnacentral:rRNA from 1 species
AUUGAACGCUGGCGGCAGGCCUAACGCAUGCAAGUCGAGCGGCAGCGGGAAAGUAGCUUGCUACUUUUGCCGGCGAGCGGCGGACGGGUGAGUAAUGCCUGGGAAAUUGCCCAGUCGAGGGGGAUAACAGUUGGAAACGACUGCUAAUACCGCAUACGCCCUACGGGGGAAAGCAGGGGACCUUCGGGCCUUGCGCGAUUGGAUAUGCCCAGGUGGGAUUAGCUAGUUGGUGAGGUAAUGGCUCACCAAGGCGACGAUCCCUAGCUGGUCUGAGAGGAUGAUCAGCCACGCUGGAACUGAGACACGGUCCAGACUCCUACGGGAGGCAGCAGUGGGGAAUAUUGCACAAUGGGGGAAACCCUGAUGCAGCCAUGCCGCGUGUGUGAAGAAGGCCUUCGGGUUGUAAAGCACUUUCAGCGAGGAGGAAAGGUUGAUGCCUAAUACGUAUCAACUGUGACGUUACUCGCAGAAGAAGCACCGGCUAACUCCGUGCCAGCCGCCGCGGUAA